rnacentral:lncRNA from 1 species
CUUGGCGGUCUCAAGGGCCUGAAUCAAAUUCUCCAAACAAGCUGUCCCAGGAUCAUCAGUACUGAUGGACUUGGGCAUCAAAUUUUCCGCAACGUCAGCAGGAGUCAUAUUGGUUUCCUCCAACAAGUUACGGAUGCUUGCAAACAAAUGGUGGGAGUCCAGAUCCAAGUAAUUCUUAGCAAGCACCUUGAAUGCUUCAAAGCAACAGUAGGAUAAUUCUAUGUGCUUGUCCAUCCUCCCUCUCCUUAUGAGAGCAGGAUCAAGUUUUUCCACGUGAUUGGUGGUGAAAACUAUGAGUCUCUCUUCGCCACAAGCUGACCACAGCCCAUCAAUAAAAUUCAGAAGCCCGGAUAGAGUAACCUUGCUUUCUUUGCUUUCACCUUCUUUCCCCUUCUUAGGAAUUGGAUUAUCCUUGGACUCUUCGUCCUCCUCUUCCUUUUCCUUCUUUUUCUUACGUUGGCCUGUGAGGUCAAGCGAACAGUCGAUGUCCUCUAUCACAAUGAUGGACUUACUCGUUGUCUCGAUCAGUAGCUUCCGCAGCUCCGUGUUGUCCUUAACUGAAGUGAGUUCAAGAUCAUAGAUAUCAUAAUUCAAAAGGUUAGCCAUGGCAGCAAUCAUGCUUGACUUGCCAGUUCCUGGAGGACCAUGAAGGAGAUACCCUCGCUUCCAAGCCUUCCCAAUUUUUUAAUAAUAAUCUUUCCUCGUGCGGAAGAUGGUGAGAUCAUUAACAAUUUCCUCCUUCUUCUUUGACUCCAUUGCUAGAGUCUCAAAAGUGGCUGGGUGCUCAAAGGCUACAUGACUCCACUCUGACUUUUUGCGCCCAUACCAUUUCUGACUUGGACUGUUAGUGUAGAGCUUCCGCUGCCGAUUUCUGACUGCAAUUGCCUUCCCCUCCUUUAUCACAUGAUUGAGAUAAGACCCCACGAUCAAAUCUCGGUACUGUUUAUGGAAAGUGAGCCUAUAGUACCUCUUCUCAUCAGCAGUAGGAUAAAAAGAAAUGGUCUGCAUUUUAGGGAGACUUUUAUUGGAAGCCCACCAAAGCUUGACCCCAUGGAAUUCAUCCGUGACUUCUUCAUGGUCAUCCAUGCUGAGGACUACAGAUUGGCUGUCUUUGACGAUAUCUGCCUUGAGCCGCUUGGCCCGGGUAGAUGAAUUGGCACUGAGGUAGUUCUCAAUGGCAGCAUAGGCUUCGCUGCGCUUGCGUCUGAAGCUAUUUUCAGUGAACUCCUGGACAGUGAUUUGAAUGUAAGGAUACACAAAGCUCACCAAGUUGUGGCUGUACUUUUCCAUAUAGGGCCGGAGCUGGUGAGGGAAGUAUUGCUGAAACAUGGCCCAGAGAAACACUGCCCCAGCAGCUACUGAGCCUAGUUGAGCAAACAUCUCGCCCAUCACCAUCUUCUUCUCCAAAGUUUUCGAGUAUCAGUAGUAAAAUGUGUUUGUAAGGAUUGAGCGUUGCUUGCCCAUUAUAUAGAGGAGCAAAACCGACCACUGAUAUUCAUCAUCUCACAAGUUCUACCGUGUCUCCUACUCUGUGGCUACCAGCUAACGACGACAUUUCAAGUUGUAUUUUGUGCCUUCGUCCACAAGGAAGAUUCCCACCGUGGAAUAGGUGUGGAAAUCUUAUUGUAAAGACCAGAUAAUAAGAAACAUCCCUCUCUACUGGUCAUAAUCGUGUCCCAACUUCAAAGUCUUUAACACAACUCGCAAGGCAGUUGAUAACUACAUUAAUUGUCGUCCACAUACACCUUUAAAAAAGGUAAAAGAAUAUUUAAAUUUAGUCAAUUGUUCCACAUUUUUCUUUUUGGCAUUUCUCCCAUUUAAUUUUCUUCUAUUCUCAACGUGUACAUUGGGUUGAUGGCAAUCAGCUGAUGUCAUCAAUUUUUUUCAAAUGCCUAAAUUGCCCUUAUUAUAAUUAAUUUUAAUUAACAUAUAAAUUAUCUUAAUUAGUUUAAAUUAAUCAUAAUCAACAUUAAAGUAAUCCAUACAUUUAAUUUCAAAUAAAAAUAAAUUAGUUCUUAAAUAUAUUUUAAUCAAACAUAAAUCAAAUUAAUUAAUUAAUUAAUAACUAACACCAUAAGAUCUUUUAUCUUAUUGGAUCAAAAAAUCUCAUUUUUCAAUCUCACUUUUAUUUUUCAAAUGUUUAUCUUAUUUUCUUAUUAUCUCAAAUUAUUAAAAUUUCUCCCUCUAAAAUUCGUACUCUAGAAUUUAUAAAUUUUGGACUCCAAAAUUUUGUUAAUUUUGGAUUAUGAAAUUUCAUUAUUUUCCAAGAUUUGAAUUUUAUAAUAUUUGUAACAUUAGGUAUUUGGGUUUUUAAAAUCUCUCCAACUUUGUCCCCAUAUUUGUAUCUCACCUUAUUGUGUAAAUUUUUCAUUUGGCGAUUUUCUUUUCUUUUUAAAUUAUUUUUGUAAUCCCAUCAACCUCCUUUGUAUUUCGAUAUUUUGGUCUUUCUUAACCAUCUUCUCUAUUUAUAUAUAUAUAAAUAGACUACAAAGUAAAAUACCUAUAAAUUUGAUUAAAAGAUGAAUUCUAAUAAUCUUUAGAACCAAACUUUAUAAUAUUUUUUUAAAAAAAUUGACUAUCAAAUUAUCAACUUUAUAUUAUAAAUAUAUUUCUUAAUUAAACAAUUUGUCCAUUUCCUCUAUUUGCCUCCUAGUCUAUCUAUGAUUCUCCUCUUGGUCUUUCUAUAAUUCCAUCCAUGAAAUUUGGUUUCUUUUUUGUUUGUAUUUACAUAAGUUUUGAGUUUAAUAUUUCUUAAAGCUUGAGAAAUUAUAGUAAAUAAAUAAAUAGAAUUAGAGUCUGAAAACAAUUUUAAAAAAUAAUUUUUAAAAUAUUUUUAAUUAUUUUAAGUUUUUUUUAAGAAUAUAAAAAAAAAGAUGAUGUAUUAUAUACUUUUAUAUAAUAAGAAAUAUCCCUCAUAAUUUUAAUAGUUGUUCCAAAUAAUUUAUCAAAAAACAUCUAAAUUUUGUUUUUAAAAAGAUCAUUUUCAAUGGAAAGUAAUGGUAUUUUCGAAGUAAGAAAAAAAAAUUGUCCUAAAGAAUAGAACUUUAUUUUCACGAAAACUUUCUAAACAGGCCUAGGAUUUUUGAAAGAAAAGGAAAGGUACUGACGGUUUUUCCACCAAAUUUAAAAGAAAAAUGAUAAAAAUUAAAGAUGAAAAAAGAUAAAAGAGUUGUGGGCCGACCCACCAGCACGGCAAAGCCCGUCCCAAGGGAUUAUGGACCAUACUGGGCUGUCCAUUUGUCUUGGACGAGCCGGCGGGUUGCGCAGCCCGUUGGAACGGUCCGUUUUACGGGGACAUGAUUUCAGCAACUCAUUCUUGUCUUUUAAUUUUUAUUUUUUUUUUUGGAAAUAAAGGCGGAAAAAUGAUGGAAAAAAACCGUUGUUUUACACGGUUUGGACGAACAAAAUUUGGAAACUUCUAUAUCACCCUUUACUAAAUUAUAUGAAUUAUAAUAUACUCUAUUUAUAAAAGUUUACGGAAAUAUUAAUAUACACUUUAUUAAUAAUUUAUGGAAUUGUAAUUCGGUGUGUCUAACUUAACCUAAAAGGGUUGGGACAGAUUAAAGGAGGUCUUUGAAAACUCUCGAGGACCAAAAAAAACCCAAACAAAAAUCUCUGAUCCUUGGGUUUUUCUUUGCCAAAGCAAGAUCCUUCAAACCAGACCCACCACAAUAACACAGGAAUGGAAAAAAUUAGGGACAAUUGUGUUUUGGAUCCAUCUGGGCCCAAAAAUUAAGAUAUAACCCAUAAAAGUUACAUAAUUGAGGAGAAGGAUAUAAAACGUGAAAAGACCAAUAUACACUUCAAAACUAUUUUGAAUAUUUUCUACCAUAAUGUUUAACAAACUUUUUUAUCUUAAUUUUUUUUAAUAAUUAUUCUGAAAAUUUAUUAUUUUUAGAAAACUAAUUAUUUUAAAAAAUAUAUUCUAAAAAUAUAUCAUUUAAAAAAAAAAAUUUGACAUAUUUUUAGUUAUUUUUUACAUACAUAAUUUUAAAAAUAUAUAUUUUUUAAUAUGUUUGAUUUUUAAAUAAUAAUAAUAAUAAUUUAUUUAUAUUUUUUUGAAAAAUAGUGUAUUUUUUUCCAAAUCACUAAAUUAAAUUAAAUUUUAUUGAGGUUUAUAAAAUGAAUAAAAUUUAAAUUAAUGUUUUUCUACUCUAUUUUUUUUUAUAGUCAAUAAAGGUAAUUUUUGGAAAGAUAAAAAAUCUAUAUCCUUCUUCUCAAUUUUCACACUUUCUCUAAGUCUUGGACUUAAAUUGUGAACUUAUAUAGACCAAAGCUUAAUUUUUGAACCCAACUAGAUCCAAAACACAAUUGUCCCAAAAAAUUAUUUAAAGAGCUAAAGGCUUUGAUACCAUAGAAACUUUUCUCAAUAAAAUUUUAUAGACCAUUCUAUUAAACUUUGAUUAAUGAACAUCAAACACGCAUAUGCAUACAAGUACAUGAAUGAUCUAAAGCCAAUACUACGCAAUCAGAGAAACAUAUUCGCAGCCCAUGAUGUCGAUUGUGGUUAGACUACUCCAUUUUCUUUCACUGCCACACCACUCUCACUCUCUUUUUCACCUAACAUUUCCUUCUUUUUCACUUCUCCAGCAGUUGCCUCCUUCUCCUUCCCUUCUUUCCCGCCCUUUAACCUCUCUUCUUCCUCUUCCUUCUCUUUAGCUUCCUUCUCGGCCUUCACCCUCGCUUCUUCCUUGGCGGUCUCAAGGGCCUGAAUCAAAUUCUCCAAACAAGUUGUCCCAGGAUCAUCAGAUGGACUUGGGCAUCAAAUUUUCCGCAACAUCAACAGGAGUCAUAUUGGUUUCCUCCAACAAUCUGCGGAUGCUUGCAAACAAAUGGUGGGAGUCAAGAUCCAAGUAAUUCUUAGCAAACACCUUGAAUGCUUCAAAGCAACAGUAGGAUAAUUUAUUAUUAGUGAAUUAAUUUGAAAUUUAUUAAUUUGGGUUUGUGGGCAUAUUGUAUUUGGUGAUUAAUUUAAGGAUAUUUGGAUUAUAUUAAUUGUAAACUGUUUAUUUGGAUUUGGGCUUAUUGUUUAAGUUGUUAUUUGUUUGGGUUUAAAAUAUUAUUUCUCUUGAUCAUGUAUUUUUUUUUUAUGUGAGCUUGUUAAUUUAUGUGAAUUUUGGGGCUCAUAAUGUAGAUGAGAUUUAUUGGAUUAUUUAAAUAUUUUAUAUGGGUUUGAUCAAUUUGAAUUAUUUAAUUUAGAUAUGAGACAAUUGUGGUGUAUAUUAAAUUAAGCUUAGAUUAUGAAAUAUUAAAUUUAUGUUUAGUAGAAUUUAUUUUAAUUGGGUUGUGUUGUUGGAAGGGAGAUGUGGUGGAGUGCUGUGAAGGAGGAAGAAGAAGGAGAAGAAGAAAAAAAAUCUGGGCCCGCGUGGGAGUUCGGGGGAGAAGAGAAAAGGAAAAAAUAUGGGAAGAUGUCAGGGUGGGGUGCCGGAGGAAAGAAAAAAAAUGAGGGGGGAAGGGAGGCUGGCGAAAAGCCAGGGACCCCACCCAAAAAAAUUGGGGGCACUCGUUUCUCUUUUGGGAAUAGGGGAGAGGAAAAAAAGAAAAAAAUGUAAAAAAUCAGCAGAGAGAGAGGCGGGCUGCCGAAUGGAGGGAAAAUCAAUCGGGGGAGGGCCGGCCAAUUGGGAAACGGAGGAAGAAAAAAAUAAUAAAAAAAAGGAAGAAAAUCAUGAAGAGUGGAGAGGGGGGCUUUUAGACGUGAGAGAGCAUGGGUUAGGUGAGGGUAGGUGGAGGAAGAGAAGAGAGAAGAGGGAGGAGAGAGGAAAGAAAAAAAUAAUAAUAAAUAUAUAUAUAUAUAUAUCAUAUAAUAUAAUAUAAUAAUAACAAAAAAAAUAAAAAAAUAAAAAAAUAAUUUAUAAAAUAAUAAAAACGAGAAAUUAAAGGAUGAAUAGACUUAAAAUUGAACUUAAAAUUAAUAUAAAAAUAAAAUUAAAAUAAAUUUUGAACUCUACAUAUAUAUUUAUAAAUUAAAAAGUCUAAAUUAGGUUCGAACUUAGGUCUUCCAUCAUUCAUCGACAGCUUGGCCAGAACAUUGGUUGUUGGGACAUUGUAUGAGCACAGCAUUUUUAGUUUUUAGUUGAACUACAAAAACGGAAAAAACAAUUGAUCCUCAUGUUUUAAAAGAAAGAAAUUACUGUGAAGAGUAUGAAAUAAUAUUAAAAAUAAAACAAAGUUGAAAUUCUUUUAUUCCGGUCACUGACUGAGAAAUAAGAAGAGAAACAAGAGACAAGGAGUACUGACAGCUUGAACCAAACAACCAGCUGCAUCAGACCAGAGUCAGAUGGAAGUUGGUCCAUUUAGCCCAGAGCUUCAUUCUACAUGACAAACACACUGAACCUAAAAGCUUAUCCUAAAUUAAUUAAGUAGAUGGUGGUUCUUUGGGGAUCACCCCAUUUUCUCUCGCUGCCGACACUCCAUUCUCUUUCACCUCUUCACCUGACAUUUCCUUCUCUUUCACUUCUCCAGCAGUUGCCUCCUUCUCCUUCCCUUCUUUCUCGGCCUUUAGCCUCUCCUCUUCCUCUUCCUUCUCUGCCUUCACCCUCGCUUCUUCCUUGGCGGUCUCAAGGGCCUGAAUCAAAUUCUCCAAACAAGCUGUCCCAGGAUCAUCAGUACUGAUGGACUUGGGCAUCAAAUUUUCCGCAACAUCAGCAGGAGUCAUAUUGGUUUCCUCCAACAAUCUGCGGAUGCUUGCAAACAAAUGGUGGGAGUCCAGAUCCAAGUAAUUCUUUGCAAGCACCUUGAAUGCUUCAAAGCAACAGUAGGAUAAUUCUAUGUGCCUGUCCAUCCUCCCUCUCCUUAUGAGAGCAGGAUCAAGUUUUUCCACGUGAUUGGUGGUGAAAACUAUGAGUCUCUCUUCGCCACAAGCUGACCACAGCCCAUCAAUAAAAUUCAGAAGCCCGGAUAGAGUAACCUUGCUUUCUUUGCUUUCACCUUCUUUCCCCUUCUUAGGAAUUGGAUUAUCCUUGGACUCUUCGUCCUCCUCUUCCUUUUCCUUCUUUUUCUUACGUUGGCCUGUGAGGUCAAGCGAACAGUCGAUGUCCUCUAUCACAAUGAUGGACUUACUCGUUGUCUCGAUCAGUAGCUUCCGCAGCUCCGUGUUGUCCUUAACGGAAGUGAGUUCAAGAUCAUAGAUAUCAUAAUUCAAAAGGUUAGCCAUGGCAGCAAUCAUGCUCGACUUGCCAGUUCCUGGAGGACCAUGAAGGAGAUACCCUCUCUUCCAAGCCUUCCCAAUUUUUGAAUAAUAAUCUUUCCUCGUGCGGAAGAUGGUGAGAUCAUUAACAAUUUCCUCCUUCUUCUUUGACUCCAUUGCUAGAGUCUCAAAUGUGGCUGGGUGCUCAAAGGCCACAUGACUCCACACGGACUUUUUGUAUCCAUGCCAAUUGUCACUUGGAUUGUUAGUGCAGAGCUUUCGCUGCCGAUUUCUGACUGCAAUUGCCUUCCCCUCCUUUAUCACAUGAUUGAGAUAAGACCCCACGAUCAAAUCUCGGUACUGUUGAUGGAAAGUGAGCCUAUAGUACCUCUUCUCAUCAGCAGCAGGAUAAAAAGAAAUGGCCUGCAUUUUAGGGGGACUUUUAUUGGAAACCCACCAAAGCUUGACCCCCUGGAAUUCAUCCGUGACUUCUUCAUGGUCAUCCAUGCUGAGGACUACAGAUUGGCUGUCUUUGAUGAUAUCUGCCUUGAGCCGCUUGGCCCGGGCAGAUGAAUUAGCACUGAGGUAGUUCUCAAUGGCAGCAUAGGCUUCGCUGCGCUUGCGUCUGAAGCUAUUUUCAGUGAACUCCUGGAAAGUGAUUUGAAUGUAAGGGUACACAAAGCUCACCAACUUUUGGCUGUACUUUUCAAUAUAGGGCCGGAGCUGGUAAGGGAAGUAUUGCUGAAACAUGGCCCAGAGAAAGAUUGCCCCAGCGGCUACCGAGCCUAGUUGACCAAACAUCUCCCCCAUCACCACCUUCUUCUCCAAAGUUUUCGAGUAUUAGUGGUAAAAUGUGUUUGUAAGGAUUGAACGUUGCUUGCCGAUUAUAUAGAGGAGCAAAACCGACACUGAUAUUCAUCAUCUCACAAGUUCUAUUCUGUGGCCACCGCCAACGACGACAUUUCAAGCUCUAUUUAGUGGCUUCGUCACCAAGGAAAAUUCCCAUUUUCUUGUACCAGCAGCCACCUUUGACGAUAUUAAUCGACCGUGGAAUACUGGAAUGGGUGGAAAUUUCAUUCUGAAGGCCAUCGAUAACUGCAUAAAUGUAUUAGAUUGCAGUUCAAUAUAAUUAUGUUUUGACUUUUGAGUCAUGGCUAAAGACAAUUCUAGUUUCAUUCUUCAAAAAAUGACGUACGUUUGGAGAUAAAUUUUUUAAUUAUCAUAUCUUAAAUUAUUUUUAAAAAAAAAUCGAUAUCCUUGUGUUCUAUAUUUUAGGUUAUAUUUAAUUUUCAAAAAUACUAUAAAAAAAAGGUAAAAAUAAUUAUUUGCUCAUAUUUGAUUAUUCUAUAAAAAAUUUUAAAUAUAAUUAAUAUUAGUUAAAAUUUUAUAUAUUAAAAAAUUAAAAUAAAUAAAAUAAAUUUAUGUAAUUUAUAAAUAAAAAAUUAUUAUUUUUAUUUUUUUCUUAUAUAUUUUUUCAAAUUUUUGGAAACAUAACCUUAGUCUUCUCGAAGCUCAUAUUUGAAUUUGAAAUUUCAACUUGUUUGGUUGUUGGAAAGCUUCCAGAAAAGUGGAAAAACAGGAGAAAAUCAAAAGAAAAAAACAAGUAAAAGAUAGUUUAAAUUUAAUCAAUUAUUCCCCACUUUUCUCCUUAGCAUAAAGAAUGUGUCCCCAUACACUUUAAAGAAAAAUAAAAGAUUAUUUAAAUUUAAAUAAUUUAAAUACUGAAGUUCAUAAAUAAUCUUUCUCUUCGUAUUUAAUUUUCUUCCAUUCUCAACUUGUUUAUUGGGUUGAUGAUGCAAUCAGCUGAUAUCAUCAAUUUUUUUUUCACAUGCCUAAAUUGUCCUUAUUACAAUUAUUUUUAAUUAACAUAUAAUUAUCUUAAUUAGUAUAAAUUAAGGAAAAUUAAUCAUAAUCAGCAUUAAAGUAACCAAUACAUUUAAUUCAAACCAUAAAAUCUUAUAUCUUCUUCAAUAAAAAAAACUUCAAUUUCUCAUCUCAUUUUUAUUUUUUAAAUUUCUCCUAGGACACGAGAGAAAUUACAAUAAUAAAUAAAUAAAUAAAUAUAUAAAAGAAUUAGAGUUUGAAAGUAAUUUUAAAAAAUAGUUUUUGUAAAUAAUUUUUAAAAAUAUUUUUAAUUGUUUUGAGGAAUAAUUUUUUUUUUUUGAGAAUUUAAAUAUAGAAAUUUUUUUUAUGAAACUAUUAUAUACUUUUAUAUAAUACAAAAUAUUCUUUGUAUUUUUUAUUUUUAAUUGUUGUUCGAAAUUCUUUAUAAAAAUAUAUAUAAAUUUUGUUUUAAAAAAUCAACAUGUUCUCAAAAAGUCAUUUUUUAAAGUUAGAAAAUUAUUUUUUAUCUUAAACAAUAAAAUUUUAUUUUCAAGAAAACUUUCCAAACAGGUCUAAGAGUUUUGAAAGAAAAGGAAAGGCACUUGACACUUUCUCCACCAAAAUUUAAAUAAAAAAAAAAAUUGAUAAAAACUAAAGAAGAUAAAAAAGGAUAAAGAGUUGUGGACCGACCCACCAGCACGGCUAAGCUCGUCCCAAGGGAUCAUGGGCCAUACUGGGCUGUCCAUUUGUCUUGGACGGGCCGAGCACUAUCUUCAGGCGGCUUGCGCAGCCUGUUGGAACGGCCCGUUUUACGCGGACAUGAUUUCAGCAACUCAGCUAGAUGUUCUUGUUUUUUAGUUUUAGUUUUAUUUUUUAUUUUGGGGAAAAAAAAGGCGGAAAAAUGAUGGGAAAAAGCCUUGUUUUACACGGCUUGGACGAACCAAAUUUGGAAACUUCAUGCAUAAUUCACCCUUUAUUAAAUUAUAUGAAUUAUAAUAUAGUCUAUUUACAAAAAUAUUAAUAUACACUUUAUUAAUAAUUUAAUUUAAUUUCUUGCAUGACGAGCUUGAGCUCUUAGAAAAAAAGUAACGCUAAAGACCAUAUGUUUGAACUUAUUAAAUGAAGAGAAAAGACAAUUCAAUCUUAUCAUAUCUUCGAAAGUAAAAAAUUAGUCACACUCAUUACAAUUGAAAACAUAUCCACAAAAGUUUUGAUACAAAUAAGAUAUUGAAAAUGUUUAAAUCGGGAUGAAUCAUGAAACUUAUAUGACUCACAAUAAUCACAAAACCACUGACAAUACAUAUGAAAAAAAAAUAAACCUUGUACUUGAUGAAGUAAAAAGUCCAUAAUUGAAAGUCGAUAUAAUUAAAUGCACUAAAAUCAAUUACCUAACGAUUAAAGUGAUUGUCUUGCAAGAGUGAGAAAGCAAAAGCAUUACAACAAUUACCCAUGUUUAAAUGACUUAUCAUCUCUUGAACUUGAUUUGUAAGUUGGUUGAUGGGUAUUAUCAAAUUUUGCAUGUUUAGAUCACACUUGGACAAUGUUGCAAUAGUUGUGUGAGAAGUCUUUCAAAGUGUAGAUUUCUCUUUCAUAUUAUACUUCAUAUGGCCAAUUUUUAAAAAUGUAUAUGCAAGGUGAAAUUUAAGUUAUAUUGUCGAGGACUAAAUUUUGUGGCAAACGCAAAAUCUUCAUUUGUCUUUGGUUUUUGCAUUGUUCCAAACAUAAAUUGAUCUUCCUCUACUUUCUUUGAGUAAAAAAAGUUUUUUCAAGUCUCCCUGACUUCAAACUCUGAUAAUACAUAAUCAAUACUAAUAAAAGAAAGAGUAUAAUGAAGUACAAAAGUUAUAACAAACUCAAAAUUAUCUAAAAAAGCCAUUAGAAAUUACACAAGAUGUAAUUCUUCUUUGUAAUUGUUACGAAAUAAUGAGACUAGACAAUAAGAAAACAAAAUAAGAACAUAUAGAUUUACAUGAAAAUCCUAGGUGGAAAAAACCGUAAGCAUAGGAGAAGAAGAUCCACUAUGUCAAAAAAUAGUACAAAAGAGAAGAGUUGUGAAUGGUUACAAUAAAAGUAUAAUUAUCAUAACAUUAAAACUAUACAUCAUCAUCUAUAUAUAUAUACCUAUCCGCCCAAUCCCUCCACUACCACUACAAACCCUCCAAAAAAAUCUCAAAAUUAGCUAUACCACAUAUGUCACACCACAAGCUUUUCAAGAUUGGCAAAAGAGAAAUCGGGUCACCAAACUCUAAUAGUAUGAAUACUAUAAUUGAGCAUCAACAAUCCACUUUGGCUCCAUAUGAGCAAAUUCAUAUGAGAGAAUUAAGAUUUCACCAUGAAAUUUAAAAUUAAUUGCUUUUUCUUUUGUUUUCAAUCACAAAUAUCAAUCUCAAGUUUGUAUUUUCGUGUGAAGUUUAUUUAAACAUAAUAUUCUACAAGAAAAUCCCAACAUAUACAAGAAAAUACCAUUGUUACAUACAGAUGACUAUAAAAAAUAGUCAAUCAUAGAAGAAAGAUGACAACGGAAAGUAAUUAUUAUUAUGGGAAGGAUGACCGACAAAAAUAAACAACCAUCAAAUACCAACAAUGACCACGUCUUGCUAUCAUCUUCUCCUUUUCUUCUUCAAAAGCUAUGAACAACUAAAUUCAUAAUCCAUGUUAUAAAUUAUUAUUUUUUCCCCUUUUUUCUUAUCUCUCACUCCUCUUGUUUAUUCUCCCCUCUUCCUCUUACAUGUUUCGUGAUUUUUCCAAAUAUUUCUUUGUGCUAGAAAUAUAUUUCCACAAUCCAUUCCCUUUCAAGAAAUUGUUCAUCAAAUAAGAUCACUGGUUAUAAUUUGAUUUGCCGAACCUAACACAGACAGAUUGGGAUAGAUUAGAGGAGGCCUUUGAAAAAGAAAACCACAGGAAAUAAAAAUCUGUGACCUAAACUGAAGAGAAAAGCUACCAAAGCACCUUUCUUGCUAAUUCACGUGAUCUGAAUGAGAGUCCCGCCCUCGAGUUUUUCUUUCCCAUAGUAAGCGUAGAGAUUCUUCACACCAGGCCCACCACAGUAACAGAGGAAUGGAAAAAAUUAUUCAAAGAGAUAAAGGAUUUGAUAGCAUAGAAACUUUUCUACAUAGAAUUUUACAGACCAUUCUAUUAAACUUUAGGAUUAAUGAACAUCAUACACACAUAUGCAUACAAGUACAUGAAAUGAUCUAAAGCCAAUACUACACAAUCAGAGAAAUAUAUUCACAGCCCACGAGGUCGAUUGUGGUUAGACUACCCCAUUUUCUUUCACUGCAACUCCAUUCUGUUUCUCUUUCUCACCUGACGCUUCCUUCUCUUUCACUUCUCCAGCAGUUGCCUCCUUCUCCUUCCCUUCUUUCUCGCCCUUUAACCUCUCUUCUUCCUCCUCCUUCUCUUUAGCUUCCUUCUCGGCCUUCACCCUCGCUUCUUCCUUGGCGGUCUCAAGGGCCUGAAUCAAACUCUCCAAACAAGUUGUCCCAGGAUCACCAGUGACGGACUUGGGCAUCAAAUUUUCCGCAACAUCAGCAGGAGUCAUAUUGGUUUCCUCCAACAAUCUGCGGAUGCUUGCAAACAAAUGGUGGGAGUCAAGAUCCAAGUAAUUCUUAGCCAGCACCUUGAAUGCUUCAAAGCAACAGUAGGAUAAUUCUAUGUGCUUGUCCAUCCUCCCUCUCCUUAUGAGAGCAGGAUCAAGUUUUUCCACAUAAUUGGUGGUGAAAAUUAUCAGCCUCUCUUCCCCACAAGUUGACCACAACCCAUCAAUAACAUUCAGGAGCCCCGAUAGAGUAACUUUGCUUUCUUUGCUUUCACCUUCUUUUUCCAUUUUACGAAUUGGAUCCUUCUUCUCUUCCUCAUUCGUUUCCUUCUUCUUCUUGCGUUGGCCUGUGAGGUCAAGCGAACAGUCGAUGUCCUCGAUCACAAUGAUGGAUUUAUUCCUUGUCUCGAUCAAUAGCAUCCGCAGCUCCGUGUUGCUCUUAACUGAAGUGAGUUCAAGAUCAUAGAUGUCAUAAUCUAAAAGAUUUGCCAUGGCAGCAAUCAUGGUCGAUUUGCCGGUUCCUGGGGGGCCAUAAAGGAGAUACCCUCGCUUCCAAGCCUUCCCAAUUUUUGAAUAGUACUCUUUCCUCCUACUGAAGAUUGUGAGAUCAUUAACAAUCUCCUCCUUCUUCUUUGGUUCCAUUGCUAGAGUCUCAAAUCUGGCUGGGUGCUCAAAGGCUACAUGACUCCAUAAUGUCCUUCUGUACCCAUGCCACUUGUCACUUGGAUUGUUGGUGUAGAGCUUUCGCUGCCGAUUUCUGACUUCAAUUGCCUUCCCUUCCUUCAUCACAUGAUUCAAAUAAGAACCCACGAACAUUUCCCGGUGGUUUUUAUGGAAAGUGAGCUUGUAGAACCUCUUCUCAUCAGCAGCAGGAUAAAAAGAAAAGGUCUGCGUUUUAGGGGGGUUUUUAUGGGAAGCCCACCAAAGCUUGACCCCCUUGAAUUCAUCUGUGACUUCUUCUCGGUCAUCCAUACUGAGGACUAGAGAUUGGCUGUCUUUGAUGACGUCUGCUUUCAGCCGCUUGGCUCGGGUCGAUGCAUUGACACUGAGGUAAUUCUCAAUGGCAACAUAGGCUUCACUGCGUUUGAAGCGAUCUUCAGAGAACUCCUGGAAAGUGAUUUGAAUGUAAGGGUACACAAAGCUCACCAAUUUCUGGCUGUAUUUUUCAAUAUAGGACCGGAACUGAUGAGGCGUGUAUUGCUGAAACAUUACCCAGAGAAACAUUGCGCCAGCAACUAGUGAGCCUGGUUUAGCCCACAUCUCCCCCAUCAUCAUCAUCAUCUUCUACAAAGUUUUCAAAGACUUGUAAUAGAAUGUGUUUGUAAUGAUUUCGAGUGUUUAGUUGCCUAUUAUAUAGAGAAGAGACAGACACACCAGGUCUACCCACUUUCCUACUAUGCGUGACCACAUUUCGAGUUCCUUACUGUUUUUUUUAUAGUGGCUUGGUCUCCAAGGAAGACUACCAUUGUCUUCUACCAGCAGCCACCUUUGACCAUAUUCCACCAUGGAUGUAGAGGAAUUUUUUUUUGUAAAUCGCAGCUGGAUACCCAUGCGAAAAGACAAGUCAACCGAAAAAAUUAUGUUCACGUCUCUCUCUACUUAGCGCAUCGCUGAGACAACUGAUGACGAUAUAAAUUUCGAUCUGCAGAUUCAAAUUAAACAUAAUUAUACAACAUAAAUUUAACAGGUUUAAACUAAACAUAAUUAUGUUUGAAUCAUGAAAUGUCCACAUCCCCCUCAACUAGUAAUAAUCGAAGCUCACAUUAACAGAGAUUCAAAUCAUGCAAACUGCUGCAACUCCUUCCGUCUAAUGCUAGCUAUGCACUGAAAAACUAAAACAAGGCUCAAGAUUCUGGAGAAAUACCUCAAGAGUAGAAGGGCAUUGAUUUCAACGUCUGAUCAUGCUGAUCCUUGGAUGACAUGCGGCUUCUGUUUUCAGACACAAAAACAGUUGAAACGCCAUGUGCAUGCAUGCAGCCAAAAUAGUUUCCCAAUUUUUAAUGAGGUAGGUUAUACUAACCUUUCGGGCCUCCUUAUAUAUUUUUUAAAAAUUUUCGGGAUUAAACAUAACCUCAGACUCCUCUAAACUCACAUUUGAAUUUUAUAUUUUAAGUUGUUUGGUUGUUGGAAAGCUUCAAGGAAAGUGGAAAGACAGGUGGGAAAACAGGAGAAAAUCGAAAGAAAGAAACAUUGAAGGAAAGUAAAAGAUUAUUGAAAUUUUUAAUCAAUUAUUCCUCACUUUAAAGGAAAGUUAAAAAUUAUUUAAAUUUAAUGGAUUGUUCCUUAUUUUUCUUUUUAGCAUAAAAAAUUUGAAAAAUGUUAAAGUAGAUAAAUAAUCUUUCUCGUAUUUAAUUUUCUUAUUACAUUUGUAAUAAUUUUGUAUUUUAUUUGAGUACUUUUCAUGGAGCCAACAUAAUUCAAUCAGCUGAUAUCAUCAAUUUUCUUUUCAAAUGCCUAAAAUAUCCUUAUUACAAUUAAUUUUAAUUAACAUAUAAAUUAGCUUAAUUAGUUUAAAUUAAUCAUAAUCAACAUUAAAGUAAUCUAUACAUUUAAUUUCAAACCAUUAUCAAUUAGUUCUUAAAUAUAUUUUAAUUAAACAUAAAUCAAGUUAAUUAAAUAACUAACACCGGCUUAGAACUGGCUAUCUACUUUUGUGCUUGACAUCAUCCGCCUCGUCAACUAUUCCUCUUUCAAUUAAAGGGUGUGAAAUAUCAAGUUAAGAGUCAAAGAAUGAUCUUUAAUGAAAGCUCGAGUUAGGGAUUAUUGACCAAUACAAAGGGAUUUCCCAAUAGAGAAGGGUGGGAGAGGCAACCUCGUAACAACAUUAGUACAAGAGAAAUAUGAAUAGGUUGGGGGAUACAUAGUCACAGGUAUAGUUGAAUGGUUACAACGGUGAAACUUUGUAGUUGAAUAAGAAAGUUUCGUCUCCAAUGAAGGAUUUUUUAUCUUUUUCAAUAAAACACUCCAAUUUCUCAUCUCAUUUUUAUUUUUCAAAUGUUUAUCUUAUUGUCCUAUUAUCUCAAAUUUUUAAAAUUUCUCCUUUGAAAAUUCUUCCAACUUUUUUGUAAUCUAGAAUUCAUAAAUUUUGGACUCAAAAUUUUGUUAAUUUUGGAUUAGGGGAUUUCAUUAUUUUCCCAAAUUUGAGCUUUAUAAUAUCUCUAACACUAGGAAUUCGGGUUUUUAAUUAAAGUCUCUCCAACUUUGUCCCCAUCUUUAUAUCUCAAGCGAUGUGAAUUUUUCAUUUGGAGAUUUUUUAUUUUUUUUAAUUGUUUUUAUAAUCCCAUCAUCCUCUUUUGUAUUUUAAUAUUUUCAAAUAAAAUACCUAUAAAUUUGAUUAAACGAUGAAUAACAAUAAUUCUCAAAAUCAAACUUUGUAACAUUUUUGGAAAAGCUUAACUAUUUAUAAUAGUUUUUAAAAGAUUUUAACACCAAAUAAUCAACUCUAUAUUACAAAUAUUUUUCUUAACUAAAUAAUAUGUCAAUUUCCUCUAUUUCCCUCUUAGUCUUUCUAUUUCGUGAAAUUUGAUUUCUCCAAAUAUUUCUUUGUGCCAGAAAUAUAUUUCCACAUUCCCUUCCCUUGCAAGAAAUUGUUCAUCAAAUAAGGCCGCCGGUUAUUAUUUGGUUUGUCUAACUUAACACGGACGGGUUGGGACAGAUUAGAGGAGGCCUUUGAAAAUUCCCAAGGAAAAAAAAACCCCACAGGAAACAAAAAUAUCUGACCUAGGGUCCUAAACUGAAGAGAAAAGCUACCCAAAUUAACUUAAUUUCUUGCUCAUUAACGUGAUACGAAAGAGAGUACCGCCCUCGAGCUUUUCUUUCCCAAAGCAAGCGUAGAGAUCCUUCACAUCAGGCCCACCACAACAACGAAGGAAUGAAACAAUUAUUUCGAAGAGUUGACGGCUUUGAAACCAUGAAACUUUUCUCAAUAGAAUCUUAAUUACAGAGCAUUCUAUUAAACAAUAGCAUUAAUGUACAUCACAUACACGUAUGUAUACAAUUACAUGGAAUGAUCUAAAGCCAAUAAUACAUAAACAGGAUAAAGCCUAAAAGUAAAGAACUAAAUAUACACAAUCAGAGAAAUAUUCACAGCCCAAAAGUAAAGAAAUGAUAUGAUACACAAUCAAAGAAAUAUUCACAGCCUAUGGUGUCGAUUGUGGGUCCUAGAAGACCACUCCAUUUUCUUUCACUGCUGCCACUCCAUUCUCUGUCACUCUUUCAUCUGACAUUUCCUUCUCUUUCACUUCUCCAGCAGUUGCUUCCUUCUCCUUAGCUUCUUUCUCGGCCUUUACCCUCUUUUCUUCCUCUUCCUUCUCUUUAGCUUCCUUCUCGGCCUUCACCCUCGCUUCUCCCUUGGCGGUCCCAAGGGCCAGAAUCAAAUUCUCCAAACAAGUCCCAGGAUCAUCAGUGAUGGUCUUGGGCAUCAAAUAUUCUGCAACAUCAGCAGGAGUCAUAUUGGUUUCCUCCAUCAAUCUGCGGAUGCUUGCAAACAAAUGGUGGGAGUCAAGAUCCAAGUAAUUCUUAGCCAGCACCUUGAAUGCAUCAAAGCAACAGUAGGAUAAUUCUAUGUGCUUAUCCAUCCUCCCUCUCCUAAUGAGAGCAGGAUCAAGUUUUUCCACAUAAUUGGUGGUGAAAACUAUCAGCCUCUCUUCCCCACAAGUUGACCACAGCCCAUCAAUAACAUUCAGAAGCCCGGAUAGAGUAACCUUGCUUUC